rnacentral:misc_RNA from 1 species
GAUACAGAUAGUUAACUUGAAAAAUUUAAUUACAAAGCUCGAGGAACCCAAAUGUAUUUUCACCGCUAUAUGUCAUAUAAAGGAAUCCGUCUUCAUCCUUGUUUUCCUCGUAAAUUGCAGACAUCAGAGCAGCAGUUGGAGGCAGAAUGUUUUUGACAAAGACAUAUAUGGCCUUUUCUGCACUGAGAUUGAUCCUCUUUCGGACAACGUAAACAAAUUGGCCAACAGUCAAGUCAGCUGGGACGAGAUACUUCUUCUUAUCAAUGUCGGAGAUAUCACUCUUUUCUGCUCUCUCAACAAUCACCGGAAUUCUGUCAGGAUAC